UAUAACUUUACUGUAUGUUGAUGGUGGAAGAUAAAACGACGUCGUUAGUACGUUGUCAAACAAAAGUUAUUACACAUUAUAAUAAGCUUUGUUAUAUACUUUUGGAAGAAAAAAAAUGUAAAGAAAAAAGUUGUAGUUUUAAAAAAAUUCAUUAUUGAUGCUGGACUUUCCACGACGGCAUCUUCGCAAACAUCCAUAUCAUCUGCCGGAAGGACGAUAUUAAUUUUAUUCCCAUCGCCGUCCGUCACUGUUUUUUUAGGAUGAAUAUACAACCUGCAUUGACACACGCACCUACCGAACGUCAAUAACUCUUGCGUUGGUACGUGACAUUUUGAAACAGACGACCAUUUUAAGUCUUACCAGUAGACCAGACGUCACUACUUGGAUCUGAUGUGGUCAGUCAACACAUCAUAUUGGGCAUUAGAGAUGUUUCAUUAUGUAUUGUGGACGUAGAAAUAUGAAACAAAAAAAAUGUCGUCGGUCAACUAUAAGCUACAUGGAGAAAUCAACUAACUUGUCGAGGAACGGUUUUGUACAAAAAUCUACAAGAAUAAUGAAAAUUAAUAAAAACAAAAUGUAGAUGUUCAAAAGUCAUCAUUGACAACAAUUAUUUUGCAGUUUUGGCAAAGUUGAUCGAGAGUCCUCAAAUAUCCUUCAGAAUUGUAGCAGUUCAAAGAAUUGCCAAAACCCUAUUUAUAAACUUCAAGCAAAUGACUAUGAAAGGUUUAUCAAUGACUAUAACUCAAUUUUAUUGCACAUUGUAUGGUAAAAUUAUACAAAGAUUUACAAUUUUCAAUAAAGAUUUUUUGAACUGAUACGGAAAAAUUCUACUUAAAUGAACAAAUUAACCACCAAUCAUUAUUAGAUUAAUGGAAUGAUUCAAAUCUCCAUUAGAUGAAUUAUACCAUUAAGCAAGUUUGUUGAGGUGUAAACGUUUGUUGUGGAAUUAUAAAUAAAAAUUUAAUUGUUGCAUAUUUUGUUGAGAAAAAUUUUAAUGGCAUUAAGUAUCUUAAUUUUUGGAAUGAUGAUUUACUCAUAUUGUUAGAAAAUAUUUCACUCGUAUAGCAUUUGACUUUGAUUUGGCAACAUGAUGGUGCACCAUCACAUAAUAGCUUGUGUGAGUGUGUAUACUUAGGACCACAACGAUAAAAAUAAAUGAUUGUUGUGACAAAAUUAAAAAUUCAAUUAUUAAAAAGUCUUCAUCCAUCGAGAUAUUGAAGCCUUUACAUUUUUGUUUAUCUGAAAAUGGUAAGAAAUUUUAACACAAAUUAAAAUAUUAAUAACACAUAAUUUAUUUUUUAUUAAAAUUGUUUAAAAUCAAAUGUACAAGUAUAUAAUAUGUAUUUUACGUGUUGUUCAUUCACAAUCAAGAAGUUUGUUAAAAAUUUAAAAAUUCUACGUGGACGUCUCACCAAAACAUAUACGCACAUGACGGUCGUGAUGUAUAUUUAAUAUUUAUAUAGAUCGUUUUCGCGAUACCUAAGGUGGUUAACGCGUGGCGUUUAAGUCACACCCACUUCAUGACUUCCGGUUGACGAGUGAUCGUUCGGGAGAGCCAACCGCCAGAGUACUUUAUUAAUCUAUGAACGUUCGUCUAAGAUGUAACCUAACGCGUAUCCAUGAAUUAACGAUUAUGAUUUAAGUCACUGCUUAUUUAAAUAAAUGAAGCAAUAUGUAGACCAUAAAAUCUGUAGUGUAACAUACCUUGAAUUGUGUUUAUUGCAUUAUUACUUACCUCAGUGGCGUAGGUAAAGGGGAUUUCGGAAGGUUCAAACCCCCUGCCAUUACCAAAAUCUCAAUUAAUAUAAUAGGUAGGUAAUAAUUAGGUAAAAAUAAAAAUCGUUUUUAAUUAAAAAAAAAAUAUAUAUAUUCGUGAAUAUUUUAAUAAUAAUACUCAUCCGAGUAAAGAUUUAGUGAUACUAAUUUUACAAAAAUGCGUUUAGUAUGUACAGCAGUCAGCAAUUACAAUCUAGUACAAAUGGUUGAAUGUCAAACCCCCUUCAUAAAUAAUAUAUACCUACGUCACUGAUUUAUAUACCCAUUCAAAUGUUAUAUCCUAAGUACCUAUACAUUUAUACUAUACAUUUUAUAGUAUAAUUUAAUGGGUAGUAUAAAUAACACGGCGUAAUAUUCAUUUUCAGUAUUAUGUCUUUUAUGUUAAACUCUAUUUAAGUUAUGUAUGAUGUAUCUUACAUUUUGAAAUAUAUUCCUUACUACUAAUAUAAAUAAUUUCCUACCUAACUAAUAAGUGAUAUUAUAUUUCGAUAUUAUUUUUCAAAUAAUAAUAUGGACAAUAUGGUAUAGUGUACAUUGUACUUAACUUUUAACUACAUAUUCUAGUAACCAAUAACUACACGUCAUAACCUACUAUAAUCAAAUCGAUAAAUACAUACAUUCUAAUUAUAAACAAAAACACAGUAUACCUAAAAAUUUUAUUGUUUCUUUCUAGUUGCUAUAUUAUAUAUAAUAUUUUAGUAUCUUGCAGCAGCCAAGGUAUGGAGAUAACAACAAUCGACUUGUGAAGUUUCCUCCACAUCCUCAGCGGUUUAAGAAAUAUCUACCGACAUAAAUAUAAAUAACGUUAAGGGAUAAUGAUGCUUUAAGCUUAGCGUUAGAAGAUAGUUAUACGAUAUCGUAUUCUUUGUCAGGCUAUGACAAGGAAAUGGAUACCGAAACCAGUAUUUACACUGUAUAGUGUAUAAUAGUGUAUAAAGUGUAGUGUAUAUACGUAUUAUAGUACCUAUAUACAAUAAAUAAUAAUAUUACAUAAGAACGAAUUCUUCAUAAUUUUAUCGUCGAUUUUAUUUUGUUAAAAUAUAAUUAGAUAUAAUAAUGCACUUAUGUGUAUUGCAUUUAUCUCAAAGAAUGAAUUUGUUAUGUAAAAAUAUUUGCACUGUAUGAAAGGUUUAUUUAUGAUGCGAGGAGGAGAUGACAAUAACCGACUUAAGAAAAUUUACCUUGGUGAAAUGAUGCAGAGCAAUUAUGUAACAACUUUUUUUCUUAUAUAUUUUUUUUAAAUUUAGAUUUUAUAAUACAAUUAUGCUCACUUAUUGUCUGUAUCUUCUACCCAUACCAUCUUAUAUGAAAAAGAAAUAGUUUUUGUCUUAGUACAAUGUAAUUCGUUUAUUGAAAAUACUACUUAGAACUCAAGAUGAUUUUUUCUCCAAAAAUGUAUGAUAAUUACUAUUGAUUUUCUUGAGUUAUUUUUUUCGUAUGCUUUAAUACGAUUGAUUAUAUUUUAUUUGCUAACUUUUAUUUUUACUACUACUUAUUAUUAUAUAUUUAUACGAUUCACAGAUAAAUGAAGAAUCAAAAUAGUGAAGUGCAUUUAAAGUCAACAAAGAUGAAUUGGUAUGUCCAACUACUUAGAAGAUAGACAAUUAUUUUCGGCUUAAGUGUAAACCACAUACAUUGGUCAUGAUUCAUUAUUUCCACAAAUUCUUUGGAAACAAGAACGCCAAGAACCAUCGUUAAAUCCAAAGCACACGAACUACCCAUAGAACAGAAGUUUUUCAAGGAACCUACAAUGCCCAAUUUUAUAACACACAUCUUCCACGCAUGUAUUAAUUUCUGCUUAGAAGGAAAUCUAGACACAAACCGAAAAUGAAGCCAAUUGAAAACAGUAUUAUUAAAAUAGUAGCAAACAAAUAUUAUGAUCAUAUUAUUUCAAUAAUUAAAUUGAUUAUUACAAAGAAUUUGAACAAACCAAAGAUAUUUAAAAUUAAUUAGA